UACAGAGGGUGCUAGCGUUGUUCGGAAUCAUUGGGCGUAAAGGGCUCGUAGGCGGUUUGUCGCGUCGGGAGUGAAAACCUACAGCUUAACUGUGGGCUUGCUUUCGAUACGGGCAGACUUGAGGCAUGCAGGGGAGAACGGAAUUCCUGGUGUAGCGGUGAAAUGCGCAGAUAUCAGGAGGAACACCGGUGGCGAAGGCGGUUCUCUGGGCAUGUUCUGACGCUGAGGAGCGAAAGUGUGGGGAGCGAACAGG
rnacentral:rRNA from 1 species